rnacentral:rRNA from 1 species
GAUUUCGGUUGUUAACUUAGUGGCGAACGGGUGAGUAACGCGUGAACAACCUGACCCAAAGAGGGGGAUAACAUUUGGAAACAGAUGCUAAUACCGCAUAAGACCACAACGUCACAUGGCGAAGGGGUCAAAGGAGCAAUCCGCUUUGGGAGGGGUUCGCGUCCCAUUAGGUAGUAGGCGGGGUAACAGCCCACCUAGCCAACGAUGGGUAGCCGAGCUGAGAGGCUGAUCGGCCACACUGGAACUGAGACACGGUCCAGACUCCUACGGGAGGCAGCAGUGGGGAAUAUUGGGCAAUGGGCGCAAGCCUGACCCAGCAACGCCGCGUGAGGGAAGAAGGUUUUCGGAUUGUAAACCUCUGUCGCAGAAGACGAAGGAAGUGACGGUAUUCUGUGAGGAAGCCCCGGCUAACUACGUGCCAGCCGCCGC